UGUGGGUGCAUUGUAGUUGCAUUGCAUGUGAUGAGCUUGAAAAUAUUCUGCAAUACUUCUGCAGUGCAACCCUCA
rnacentral:pre_miRNA from 1 species